ensembl:lncRNA
UGAGAAGACAUCUCUUUUUCCUCUGCUGGGACCAGCAAUCUAUCAUGAUGAGGUAGGCUAAUUAUCUCAAAAUGAAAACACCUGCUGCUUUUAUAAUAGAUACAUGGAUAAAGCUCGUGCUUAGACCUGUUCCCGAAAGGACAUAUCGCAGAGUAUCAUCAUAAACUCCAGAACGUCUUGAGGUUUUUGGCACAGCUAAAUCUUUAAAAUGAAGGCCCCGUGCCCAAAACAAUCCAGGAAACCGAAGAGUGUUAAGAAAACUGACAAGAAGAGGACAAGGGCUUUUUCAAACUAUAUAUACAAGCUUCAGAAAGAGGGUAGUCACCCGUACGUCAACGAGACGGUGUGCGUUUCAAAACGAGAUGCUACAAGUGUGAGCCAGUGGAUUGGUGCCGAAGCGGCCCGGCUGUCGAAGUUCAACAAGCGGGGUGCCAUCACGCAACUAGAGGUUCUCUCAGCUAUGCUACUGUUCAAGGCGGGGAAUGACGUGCACACUGACCGCGCCUGAGUUUUUGUUCGUUUCUUAAUCUUUUUACGUUGAUGUAAAUGUUUCCGUAAUGACUAAUUCCGUUAUGUAUUGAAUAAAAUGUUUCUACUUUGAAGAAAAUGCCUUGGUGAAUGUCUUGUGUUCUAGAGUGUGGUUACUGAGGUUGACAAUGGUCAUAUGUCAAUAUUUAGAUGUAGUUGUCUUGGGUUUCUGAGGCGUCCUCAUGAUUGUCUUCCAAGUGCAAGUGUAGCCAAGCGACCUCACCCAUCAUGCUGCUCCUGCAACCAAACACAAGCUGCACUACUUUCGCUACAUGUUUUUUUUUUUUUAAAUAAUUUUAUGCAUAUGCCCCAAGUAGUCUGACUAAGUCAUGGUAUAGGUCCAGAGCUGUAAAAGCUUCAAAACAGCUCUGCAUUUAAAGACCUUACUGACUGUCUGUUGGAGGGGAAAUCCUGCAUAUGUGGCUGUUGCUUAGUAACCUGGUGUGAUCCUAGCACUGCCUCUGUGGAAGACCCAUUUUUGAUUUUGCAGCUGCCUGGAUGUAAAAAUAACCAUCUUUUAUCCAUCAUUCAUUAUGUAUUCCUAUUUCUAUCUUUUUUUUUAGUCAUGAAUCAAUUUGAUUUUUAAUGCGUGGUCGUGUUUUGUUUUAUUUAAAAUGGUAGGAGAAAUAAAGCGCGCUUGUACUAUCAGGUCAUAGCACAGCUUUCAUUGUGAACUUGUCACGGGUUGUCAUGAUCUAUGAGACAUGCUAACAGCAGCUGUUUAGUUUCACUGUUCAGCUUGUCAGGGCCAGCUUAAUGUCAGGCUAAGCACUCUCUGGCUCUGACAACUGUGUUGUGUG